rnacentral:piRNA from 1 species
CCCAGUAUUAAGAAUUCAGAGCC